CAGGAAGCGCGCCCUCUGCAAUGGCGGCUCUGGGCAACUGUCUAACGGCUUCCGAUGUCGACCUCGAUCUUAUUUUCUUUCCCAAGAGCUCAAGCUCAAACAUCUACUGGAGAACAAUCCAAAACCAAACCCUGAAGAAUGGAGAGAGAGGCUGGACCUGUGACUUCAACGAUCUGAGAGCUCCAGCAAUGUGAAUCUGCUCCUUCUCUACAGCUUAUCAUCUUAAGCAAGGUGCACACAACACUAGGCCCCUCUUUAGCAGUUUGGCAAAGCCUAUGAAUCCCUUCAUCAGAUGUUUCAAAAUACCUAAAAUAAAACAGGUACAAUUAAAAAGGAAAUUAAAACUA